rnacentral:sRNA from 1 species
CUUGGUCAUUUAGAGGAAGUAAAAGUCGUAACAAGGUUUCCGUAGGUGAACCUGCGGAAGGAUCAUUAGUGAUUGCCAUCUUGGCUUAAACUAUAUCCAUCUACACCUGUGAACCGUUUGAUUGAAUCUUCUGAUUCAAUUUUACAAACAUUGUGUAAUGAACGUCAUUAGAUCAUAACAAAAAAAAACUUUUAACAACGGAUCUCUUGGCUCUCGCAUCGAUGAAGAACGCAGCGAAAUGCGAUAAGUAAUGUGAAUUGCAGAAUUCAGUGAAUCAUCGAAUCUUUGAACGCAACUUGCGCUCUCUGGUAUUCCGGAGAGCAUGCCUGUUUGAGUGUCAUGAAAUCUCAACCAUUAGGGUUUCUUAAUGGCUUGGAUUUGGAGGUUGCCAUUCUAAAUGGCUCCUCUUAAAGGAGUUAGCAAGUUUUACUAUUGCUAUCUGGCGUAAUAAGUUUCGCUGGAAUGGUAUUGUGAAGCGUGCUCCUAAUCGUCUUCGGACAAUUACUUUGACUCUGGCCUCAAAUCAGGUAGGACUACCCGCUGAACUUAAGCAUAUCAAUAAGCGGAGGAAAAGAAACUAACAAGGAUUCCCUUAGUAACGGCGAGUGAACCGGGAAGAGCUCAAAUUUGUAAUCUGGCUGUCUUCGAUAGUCCGAGUUGUAAUCUAUAGAAGCGUUUUCCGUGCUGAACUGUGUAUAAGUCCCUUGGAACAGGGUAUCAAAGAGGGUGACAAUCCCGUACUUUACACAAUCAUCAGUGCUCUGUGAUACGUUCUCUACGAGUCGAGUUGUUUGGGAAU